AACAAACGCUGGCGGCGUGCCUAACACAUGCAAGUCGAACGAGAAAGGGUCUUCGGACCUGAGUAAAGUGGCGGACGGGUGAGUAACGCGUGGAUAAUCUGCCCCUCAGUUGGGAAUAACUCAUCGAAAGGUGGGAUAAUACCGAAUAAUGCUGCAUGGCCUCGGUCGUGUAGCCAAAGAUGGCCUCUGCUUGCAUGCUGUCGCUGAAGGAUGAGUCCGCGUACCAUUAGCUAGUUGGUAGGGUAAUGGCCUACCAAGGCUACGAUGGUUAGCUGGUCUGAGAGGAUGAUCAGCCACACUGGAACUGAGAUACGGUCCAGACUCCUACGGGUGGCAG
rnacentral:rRNA from 1 species